CCUGUGGAUAAUAAGAAAACCAGAGAAGUGUAAAUAGAUUCUUGAAAUCAAACCCAACAGAUAGAGAAAACAAAUAAUUUUGAAUGCUUUAAGAGGAUUUAAAGACUAGAAAAAAGAAAUAGACGAGCGAUAGGUAACAGCACUCGCUUUAUAACGCCAUGCAACUUUCUCUCCUUGAACUACUUAACAUAUCAGAAAUUGCAUGUUGUCGCAUACAAAUAUUUUUGUUCAAGUGCAAAAUAGAAAUGAACCCAUAAGGAUACUUUUUGUCUUAUCAUUCACACCAAUGAUGAGUGCUGGUGCUACCCAGCUUCUCCUUUGGUCUUUGUAACCGGCUGAGCCGACCCAAAGGCCGGCUCAAGUUUAUAGGAGGCGGAUCAGUUCCGCCUCCCCUCAUGUUGCCCACCCACAUGUUGGGUCCCAAGGCUUGUAAUAGGUUUGAAUUUCAAAAGGAUGGGGCGGCUAGGUAUUGGGAGGGAGAUUUGAUUAGGAAAGGUUGGGUAUUAAGAGAGGGAGAUGUUUAGGAAAUGUUUUAAUGUUUAGAUUGGCUGGGAAUUAGGGUUUCUUGGCAACUUGGGCUCUAGACUCUCUUGUCUAGAGAUUUGGGAGAGAUGAUCCUCCUCUCGAAUUGAGGAUCUCUCGUAUCUUUGCUUUGUUAUUGUUUUCCUUUGCUUUCUAUAAGAAUUACUAUCGUUUGAUUGUUCUUCCACGAUGAUUUCUUCGUUUUCUCGCUGUUUUUACCAAUUAUUGUUAGGUUUGCUUGCGAACUCAAGUAAAUCCGAUAGGAUUACUAGCGAACUCAAGUAUUUCCUAUCAGUCUUUUCGGCAACUAGGAGAAAUUGAUGCUCUUCAUGUUUGCUUGACGUUCCGAUUUUGUGGAGCAUUUUGAGUCCUCUCUGCUCUUUGAGUCGUUUUAAUUUUUUUCUCCUUUCCUUGUAGUUUUUCCAUACAGAUUUUAUAUUUUGUGCAACUACUUUUUGUUUUGGAUAGUUGAUGGUUUCUUUUCAUUUAUACAUGUAAUUCUGUUUUUUCUUCAUAGUUUAUAAAAUGGGCUUUGGCCCCCCACCCCCCAAAAAAAAAACAGCAAGAAUCUUAAAGGACAAAGGCACCAGAAAAGACCAUUUUAGAAAGUAUAAAAAUAGCUAUUGUUCAGGUCCCUUGUGAAAAUAAUAGAAUUCAAAGCUUUUAAUGAACCUUAGCCACGUUAACGGCUGGAACUUCUGUGAGCUGAUUUCAUGCUUAUUCCAGUCUAUCCAGGCAUGGAGUCUCAAGAAUCAUCAAAAACA